rnacentral:lncRNA from 1 species
UUCGCCCCCGGGCCUUUCAGUGGCGCGGGCCGAGUGGCCAUGGCGCUCGGGUGCGCGCAGUGCACGCGGUGAGCUGGAGACGCAGGCAUUGCGCGGCCCACCGGCUGAGCCCGCUCUCCCUGCGAGGGGGGCGCAGCUCGGUGGAGAGGGUGGCCCGGAGGACCGGGAACCGGGCUGGAGGCGCGCGGGGCUCACACCGCGGGGUCCGCGGGGAGCCGGGCCUCGGGCUGCAGGUGCAGGCUUGUGGCGGUGAGGCGACUGGAGCGGCACGGGAGCCCGCCCGUUUCGGGGAGAGCCCGGGGCGAUCGCGGGGGGAGGCCGGCCUGGCGUCCGGGAGCCCGGCGUGCUAGGGCCCGGGUUAUCACCGGAGUGGGACUGGUGACUUCAUUAGAAGAGGAAGGAAGACCUGAGCUGGCCUGUGAAUAUGCUCCGCCCCCUGGCCAUGUGACACCUGCGCCACCCUCAGGACUCUGCAGAGUCCCCAGCAGCAAGAAGGCCCUCACCAGGUGCAGCCCCUCAACCUUGGACUUCUCAGCCCCCAGGGCUGUAACAAAUAAAUUCUUUUUUAAAGUAA